AUGGCGAGCACGACCAAUGCCGCGGUGAUUUUCGGCAUCCUAGUUUUUCUGCAGGUGUCGUGCGCCGUUUCCAGGCACCCCGCGGAAGGUAAGUUCGAGCUUCGACAGAACGUUCCGGCGGUGAUGACGGUGAACGGCUUCCAGGAAGGAGAGGGGGGCGGCGGGCCGGCGUCUUGCGACGGCCAGUACCACAGCGACGAUGAGUUCGUGGUGUCGCUGUCCUCGGAGUGGUACGCAGGCGGGGCACGGUGCGGCAGGACGAUCCGCAUCGUCGACACUUCCAAUAUCGGCAUAGACGCCAAGGUAGUUGAUGAGUGCGCCGGCUGCGACAACGAGGUGGGCGCCUCGUCCCAUAUCUGGAAGAACUUCCAUCUUGACACCAGCCUCGGCCAGGUGGACAUCAAAUGGUCGGACCUGGACUCCUAA
rnacentral:rRNA from 1 species